AAUAAUUGUGGUUUAUGAAUAAAAAUUAUUGAAAAUUUAUUUUACAUAUAAAUUUUAGUAUUAAUUUUUAUAUAUUUUAAAAAUAUAAUUAAUAUUUAAUUUUAGUAAUUAAUAUUAAAAAUUUAAGAAAUUAAGAUUUAGUAAUAUUAAAAUUAAUAACAAAUUUUGUGCCAGCAGUUGCGGUUAUACAAAAAUUAAAUUUAUUUAAUUUAGUUAAUAAUAAAUAAAAAUAUUAAAAAUAAUUUAAAUUUUGAAUUUUUAAGUGAAAUUUUAAUUUAAAUAAAGUUUAUUUUUUUUUAUGAAUUAUAAAAUUUUAUAAUAAACUAGGAUUAGAUACCCUAUUAUUAAAAAUUUAAUUAAUAUACUAAAAUAGUAAAUAAUAUUAUUUAUUGAAACUUAAAUAAUUUGGCGGUAUUUUAGUUCAUUUAGAGGAAUCUGUUUAAUAAUUGAUAAUACACGAAUAAAUUUACUUAAUUUAAAAUUUUAUAUAUCGUUGUUAAAAAAAUAUUUUUUUAUAAAAAUAAUAUUUAAAAAUUUUAUUUUUUAAAAUUAAAUCAGAUCAAGAUGUAGAUUAUAAUUAAGAAUAUAAUGGAUUACAAUAAAUUUAUUUAAUAUGGAUUUAUAUUUGAAAAAAUAUAAUUAAAGUGGAUUUAAAUGUAAUUUUAUUUAAUUUAAUAAAAUGAUUAAAGAUUAAAAUAUGUACAUAUUGCCCGUCACUUUCAUUUAUAAUUUGAAAUAAGUCGUAACAAAGUAGAAGUACUGGAAAGUGUUUCUAGAAAUA
rnacentral:ncRNA from 1 species